AGCUAAGGAGGGAAGGAGGAGAAGCAGCAGUGGGACGUUAGUUUUCUGCAUGAGGCAGGACAUGGACUAAGGAAAAUGAGAUGCACAUGAAGGGGGUCGGCCUUGGACAUGUCAAAGCACACAUGGGAUGGUCCCAGUGGAAGUGGCCACACAGUACUAAUGAGCAGUGAAGAUAUAGCAAGAAAAACAAGAAGCCUUAAUAAGUUCAACUUUUGAACCUGGAAGUAUUACAUCAGAGCCAAACAGUUGACUUUCCAGCCAGAAGAUGGUGAAGAUCUACGUGAUAAUUGAAAGAUUGCUCAUUCCAACCCAACUACGUCAUCACUAAUGUCUGUGUGGAUUUUGCCUAACAUAAACUUAUUGUUCUGAGACUACUAUGAAUUUUAAGAAAAGCCCCUACUGCAAUUCAAUUUAUUUUCAAAGACCUAUCAAGGAGUUCACUAUUCACCCUCAAUAUUUGCAAAAUUAGCGUGCAGUGUCAGCCUGCUUCACUCUGGAAAAGUCGAAUACUUUUCCAAGAACAAAAUGACUUCAUGGUUUGUUCUGAACUACAAAAUUGAAAGAUUAAAUGAUACAAGCGUAUUUAAAGCAGGUUAUGUAUAUACUAUUUUCUCAGUCAUGUUUUAAAGGCUUAAAAUGUCCCCAGUAAAGCUUCAGUGAGCUAUGCACGAAAUAAUACAUGCAACUGCCAACCAGAUUCCUAACUUGUGGUCCACAAAAGACAUGUACAAGUUUCAGUGUCAGACAAAAGAGGCCAGACUCAG
rnacentral:lncRNA from 1 species